UUUUUCAGAUGUCCACACCUUAAACGCCUUGUUAUGCUUUCUUGGAACAAAAUAAAAAAGCGAACGAUAUGCAGGGCUAUUCAUAUUUCGAAAGAUCUUGAAUCACUAACAAUGCCUAAUAUUGCACAUGUCAUCGAGGAAAUUGACAGGAGUUGCCAAUAAUUUUCUGAGCUCAAGAUUAUAGGGCCCUGUGAUAUGUUGUUUGCAUUUACACUGGUAUCAUUUCUUCCAAACUUGAAAGUGUUGAGUGUGAGGUGCAUAGUGAUAUCUAAACUUGCUUUGGUUAUUAUCUUAGAGGGGUUAAAAAAGUUGAAAGUGUUCAACAUAUCUCAUUGCGUAAUUACUGAUGGAGUUUCAAAAUAAAAAGAAGAUGAAGCUGUUGUGAUGGAAAAAGGAGAUUCUCCUGUAAGGAGAUGGGAGGACCUUGAUAUUAAUAUCUUGGUGAAGAUACUCCAGUCCUUUGACCUUUUUCAGUUUAUAUCUAUAAUUCCUCAAGUUUGUCGUGCAUGAUAAUUGGCUUGUUUUGAUCAACUUCUCUGGAAAAUGCUGGACUUAUCAGUAUUGCAAUCAAAUUUCAUCAGAAUCUCAAGGAAGCCUUACGUAUAUGUCGACAGUCCGUCUCAAAAAAAAUUGACCCGACUCCUAAAUAUUUGCUUGAACCUCAGUCAUGGUAACAUACAAACGUUGAUCUUCCAUCAUAAUUUGUAUGUUAACGACAAUCAGUUGACUUUUACUGCCAAGAGGUAUCCACGGCUUAAACGUCUUGUUAUGCCUUUUUGGAACAAAAUAAAAAAGUGAACAGUAUGCAGGGCUAUUCAUACAUGGGAAGAUCUUGAAUCACUAUCAAGGCCUAGUAAAAAAUCCUGCAUAUGUCAUUGAGGAAAUUGCCAGGAGUUGCAAAAAAAA